UACGGAGGGAGCAAGCGUUACUCGGAAUUAUUGGGCGUAAAGGGCGCGUAGGCGAUUUGAUAAGUCUCAUGUGAAAGCCCAGGGCCUAACCCUGGAAGGGCAUGGGAUACUGUUGAAUUUGAGUUCCGGAGAGGAAGGCAGAAUUCCCGGUGUAGCGGUGAAAUGCGUAGAUAUCGGGAGGAAUACCAGCGGCGAAGGCGGCCUUCUGAACGGAUACUGACGCUGAGGCGCGAAAGCCAGGGGAGCAAACGGG
rnacentral:rRNA from 1 species